rnacentral:rRNA from 1 species
UACGGGGGAGGCAAGCGUUAUCCGGAAUUAUUGGGCGUAAAGCGUCCGCAGGUGGUCUUUCAAGUCUGCCGUCAAAGCGCGCGGCUUAACCGCGUACCGGCGGUGGAAACUGUGAGACUAGAGAGCAGUAGGGGUAGCGGGAAUUCCCGGUGUAGCGGUGAAAUGCGUAGAGAUCGGGAAGAACAUCGGUGGCGAAAGCGCGCUACUGGGCUGUAUCUGACACUCAGGGACGAAAGCUAGGGUAGCGAAAGGG